rnacentral:rRNA from 1 species
GACGAACGCUGGCGGCGUGCUUAACACAUGCAAGUCGAGCGGUAAGGCCCUUUCGGGGGUACGACGAGCGGCGGAACGGGUAGGAGUAACAACGUGGGUGGACCUCGCCCUUACGUCUCUGGGGAGUAAAGACCUCGGGAAACGUAGGGUCGUAAUAACCGGACCAUGACUCCAUGACGCAUGUUGUGGGGUGGGAAAGACCUUGUGCGGCUAGGGAGUGGGCCCGGCCGGCCUAUCAGCUUGUU